rnacentral:rRNA from 1 species
UACGGGGGGAGCAAGCGUUGUUCGGAUUUACUGGGCGUAAAGGGCGCGUAGGCGGUGGCUUAAGCGUGCGGUGAAAGCCCGGGGCUCAACCCCGGGUCGGCCGUGCGGACUGGGUCACUCGAGCACUGUAGGGGCGGGUGGAAUUCCGGGUGUAGCGGUGGAAUGCGUAGAGAUCCGGAAGAACACCGGUGGCGAAGGCGGCCCGCUGGGCAGUGGCUGACGCUGAGGCGCGACAGCGUGGGGAGCAAACAGG